rnacentral:rRNA from 1 species
UACGUAGGGUGCGAGCGUUAAUCGGAAUUACUGGGCGUAAAGCGUGCGCAGGCGGUUUUGUAAGCCAGAUGUGAAAUCCCCGGGCUUAACCUGGGAACUGCAUUUGGGACUGCAAGGCUUGAGUACGGCAGAGGGGGGUAGAAUUCCUGGUGUAGCAGUGAAAUGCGUAGAUAUCGGGAGGAAUACCAGUGGCGAAGGCGGCCUUCCGGACGGAUACUGACGCUGAGGCGCGAAAGCUAGGGGAGCAAACGGG